rnacentral:rRNA from 1 species
CGUUAUCCGGAUUUACUGGGCGUAAAGGGAGCGUAGGCGGCAGAGUAAGUCAGAAGUGAAAAUCUGCGGCUUAACCCUGGAAUUGCAUUUGAAACUGUCCAGCUUGAGUGCAGGAGAGGCAGGCGGAAUUCCUAGUGUAGCGGUGAAAUGCGUAGAUAUUAGGAGGAACACCAAUGGCGAAGGCGGCUUACUGGACUGUAACUGACGUUGAGGCUCGAAAGAGUGGGGAGCAAACA